UUAAAAGUGUAAUGUAAGUCGCUUUGGAUAAAAGCGUCUGCUAAAUGACAUAAU
rfam:Gasterosteus aculeatus cont1.004063, whole genome shotgun sequence.